AAGGAGGAGGACGUGGGUCAGGUAUUUUCUAUCUACGCAUCUAGUUACGCAGGUUUGUGUAGUAAGACAAGAUGUCUAUUUAUCAUGUACCUGAUCCAGAAGAACUAAUAGAAUGUCCCUACGACAAGGUUCAUAUGAUCCGAGCCAAGAGAUAUCAAUAUCAUUUAAUGAAAUGUAGACAGAAUCAUGCUGGCCAGGACUAUGCUAUCUGUCCAUUUAAUGCUAAACAUGAGAUGCCAAAACCUGAACUGCGAUAUCACAUGUCCAACUGUCCAUUCCGUGUAGCUGUUGAAAGAGAAAUAGAAUAUGAUGAAAAUCGUCGUAAUGGAGAGAAGAUGGAUUUAAAAGGAUGUACUGAUGUGCCACCAUAUAAUGCUGCUUGUACCAUACUUGAUGAAAACUGGGAUGCUGAGAUUCCAAUCCAUGCCAGAAUGGGAGUGGAUCCAAGUUUUUUUGAGAAUCUACAGUACAGAAAUACUUCUGGUAUGCAGAGAUCAGAGAGAAAGGAAUUUUACCAGAAGCUUCGAGACAAGGAACUAGGAAUUGAAACACCAAGCGUAACCAAUGCAAAGACAAGUCAGCUUCGUAUUCCCAAUCAGAAAUCCAAGGCAGCUUUAAUGCACCAGAAUACAACUAAACAUCAUUCAUUUGAUGUAUUUGCAUAUUCUUUAUCUAUGGCUGGUAUCGGAAGAGGCAAAUCUCUUUUACGGUGUAAAAAUGAGGAAGUGGCUCCACCUGUUCCCAGGAGACCUGGUGAUUUGGUUGAUGAGUUAGUCAGACGACUGACCGUUUUGAGUGAUCAAACAACUGGAGCCAGCAGUCGACCAGGAAGACAAUCUACUACAACAUCACCUACCAACAAUGUUAUGGAAAUGUAUUCGAGUGGAGCAGCUACUCAGUAAGGAGAUAUAUGAUUUGAAAAUGCUAAGAAUGCAAAUUAUUGGAUAAAUUGAUGUUUAGUUAUAAUAAUUCAGGAAGAAUUUCAAAUUUUGAAUUUUAAGUUAUAUUAGACAGGAAGAUUUCCAAAUUUUAUUAGAAUAAUUCGGGAAGAAUUCAAAGCUUAGUUGGAAUAAUUCAGAAAGAAUUUAAACUUUUGUUAGAAUAAUUC